UCGGAUACAUCGAGGGCGUCUGGUUAAAACAUUCGUUAUUACACAAAGCGUUACUUGUAUGCUUAAACAUAGAAAUGUGGGCUUUCAAUCAUAACUCAAUAUAAGUUUGUUUUUAAUGUAGACCAUACGAUGAUUAUAUUCGAAGUAAGUGAACGAAAUCAUGUUCAAUAUAACUCGAUUUAUUAACGUGUUUAACUAUUAAUGCAUGACGUGAAUCGUGAUAAAAAAUACAGACAACUUUUAAAUUUGACAAAUGGAUUUUUCAGUUAUGCAUUUAUAUGCACUAUCUAGUUGACAAAAUAAACGGUAUUUAGUGUAUUUAUAUAUAUCGAUUACAAACGUGUGACGAAACUGAGGAAAUGUCUGGGCAGAACAUCACUAGGUGAUAAUAACUUUGUGCUAAAUUACGGAAUGGAACGAAACGUACCUUUAUGGCAGACCACUGUUAACGCAACGCUGUUAUCACCGAUCAUCUUGCUCGGAAUUGAGGGAAAUAUUUUCUCUCUCUUGGUCUGGAUUAAAGCAACCUUUUCUGUCGCCUGUAAGUCUCUCGCAUACUGUGCAUUUCUCCUUCCGGCCAUCUCGGCCUGCAUCCUUGUUACCGUUACGAUUGAACGCACAAUCAGCGUGUGGUUUUCUCAUCGCGUCACCGUGGUAUGCCGCCCCAAUAUAGCCGUGAUCCUAGUCCUCGUAUGCACGCUGGUCUUGUGCUUAGUCUACCUGCCUGUUUACACCGGAAGUGGUUUACGAAGAGUUCUAAACGUACCUACAAAUGGCGACGUCGAGUUCUCCUAUGAUGAAUGCGGCAUUCUGACGACUUCUCUCAUCAGCAAUAAUUUUGUUGUCGUCAUAAUCCUUGACCUGUGUGUCCUCUUCGUGUUUCCUUUUGGAAUAAUUCUGAUUUGUAAAGUCUCGAUCCGGUUGAAGAUUAUCUGUCUAGCACGCAUGCGCAGAAACACCCUUCAAGAACGCGGAGGACAAACAAUAUUAACACGCGUUGGUAAGAGCCAGAAAAUGCUAAAAACCGUCACCCGCCGUAUAAUAAUACUAAGCACUACGUACUUCCUGUGCAACGCACAUUUAUGCAUUUUCAACAUUUUACUGAUGACUUCAAAGGAGAAUACUGUGUCCAUGGACCAAGCUAGUAUUUAUGUAGAAAUGUGUUUCAUAUAUGCAUGUUUUUGAACAAUGGCGUCAAUUUUAUGUUGUACUGUUUGAUAGGAUCUGGAUUUAGAAAAGACUUCAUUGGUAUUUUUAAGUCUGGAAGUAGAUCUUCGUCAUCGUAAGUAAGUGACGGUCACACUCAUUCUCACAAUCACCGCGAACUGGUUUGUCCUACAUUUGUCACUGUAUACGCUGGUUAACGAGUUAUUGCAAUAGGUUGAAGCACUGAUAUAAUUUACCAAUCAACAUGAAGAAAUAACAAUAUUUAGACCAACGGGAGCUGCAUUCGUCUUAAACAACACGAUAUUCAUCACUUAAUGUGUCAUCUUAGGUAUGCUAGAUAUUUUAUGAUUAAAUACGAUCUUAAUGGCAUACAUACUUUAUAUAAAUUACAUUCAAGGACGAAACAUUCUUUCAGAAAUACAAUAUGCUUAUCAAGCUAUUUCAACAAAAUAAAAUAAUCACGUAUAAAAUGAAAUGUGUACAAAUGUGUUAUUUUAUAUAUUUUUUAUUGUCGUUAUAUGUUAAGUAUGCAUGGCUUGUAUUGAAAACAAUAUUUGAUGUUGGUCUCAAAUGUUUUGAAAACAUGGUUGUUUCGUAUAUGUGUUUUGUCCUAACGUAAUGGAUACAGAGACGACAUUUCUAUAGUUACUUCUAUAUAAAUAUAUCUUAACAUUUUAAAGUUCAUCCUGAAAUGUGAUUUGAUUGAAACUAUCGUUUCGAUUCUGAAAAAAACAACAACAACACAGUAAAAAAAACGAUAAUAUGUUCGUAAUGGUUAUAAAGUGUUUUGAGUGUUGCCUUUUAUUUGUAUACUCUGUUAAAGAAUACCGUAGUCAAUUUAUUAGUACUAAAAAUGUAUGCCAUAUGAUAUGUAUGUGCGUUUUUGUUAUUAUGUAAUUCCUUAUCAUUUUGUUUUAUUUUUGCCGGCUAUGUUUUAUACAAUAACGAAACCGAAUGGCAAAUGACAUGGAACAUUGUUAAAUCUCUGCAAAUGCUGUUGUUUUUAGCUCAUCUAAUUUUUGAAAAAAAAAAGUAUGAGCUAUUGUCAUCCUCUGAGCGUCGGCGUCCGAUUAUGUUGUGUGUUUAGGUCCAAUUUUCUCAUAAAGUAUCAAAGCUAUUGUAUUUUAAACAUGGCACACUACUAACUAUCAUUAGGGGACUGGGCAGGCAAAUUUAGAUGACUCUGGCGGGCAUUUUUACAUAACUAUUUGCCCUUUUUAUACUUAAAAAAUUGAAAAUCUGGUUAAGUUUUGUG